AUGCACGCUGGCGGCGUGCCUAAUACAUGCCAGUCGAGCGAACAGACGAGGAGCUUGCUCCUCUGACGUUAGCGGCGGACGGGUGAGUAACACGUGGAUAACCUACCUAUAAGACUGGGAUAACUUCGGGAAACCGGAGCUAAUACCGGAUAAUAUAUUGAACCGCAUGGUUCAAUAGUGAAAGACGGUUUUGCUGUCACUUAUAGAUGGAUCCGCGCCGCAUUAGCUAGUUGGUAAGGUAACGGCUUACCAAGGCAACGAUGCGUAGCCGACCUGAGAGGGUGAUCGGCCACACUGGAACUGAGACACGGUCCAGACUCCUACGGGAGGCAGCAGUAGGGAAUCUUCCGCAAUGGGCGAAAGCUUGACGGAGCAGCGCCGCGUGAGUGAUGAAGGUCUUCGGAUCGUAAAACUCUGUUAUUAGGGAAGAACAAAUGUGUAAGUAACUAUGCACGUCUUGACGGUACCUAAUCAGAAAGCCACGGCUAACUACGUG
rnacentral:rRNA from 1 species